CUAUUCAAAGAUUUUUUUUUCUGAUAAGUAAAGGGGUACUAAUCUAAACUUUUACCACAUUUAACGUUAAGUUUCUCUCAAUAAGUAUUUUACUGUGCGAGAGAUUGACAUUAAUUGACACUUUAUUAGUUAUAUACUGGCUUGUUCAUGUACCUAUUACCUACUUUAUAGUUUGUGUAUACCUGUAACUUUGAAGGAACUUCAAUACACAUAUCAGUCGUCAGACGCAUUAUUAUAACCUCAAAGCCUAUAAAUUUUUAUAAUUAUUGUUUUCCUUUUAGUCCGAGAGUAUUUAAAUCAGUGUGCUUUUAAAUAAUUUAUAUGUUUAAAGUUGAUAUAAGUUUAAAAGUUUUAAACUGACAUUAUAAAUUUCUUAUCAAGUUUUCAAUGGUUGUUUUGCAAAAUUAUUGUGAUUGUGUUUGAGUAUGUGCAAGUUCUGUUGUGUAUCCAGAUAAAACAAAUUUAAAAAUGUGUAUUUCAUAAUUUUACAUAUAAAUACUGCAAAGUAUUGAAAUAUCAUAGUGUAUCCAAAGUUGUUAGUAGUUCUAAUUAUUUACAUCCAAGAAAUACGCUAUGGCGGGAAGCGUCACUAACCAUAGGAUAUAUUAUUAAAGGUAAGUCAAACAAACCAGUAAUUAGUGGUGUCUUAAGGUUCAUAAGAAAUAUUAAGUUCACAGAUGGUUAACAAAUAGUAAGCUGGCAUCCAACUUGGUGAAACUGGGACCAGUCCUGAUAAAAGCUUCAAAGAAUAAAUAUAUUCUGCUCUUUAAAUCAUAUACAUUUAGAAGAUGUACCAAGUCUAAAAAAGGUGUUGUUUGGAAAUGUACCAAUAGCAAGUCUGAUGGUUGCAAAGCUAUUUUGACAACGGAAGAUCUUAAUGUGGUUAUAGAAAAGGGAGAUCAUAAUCAUACAAAACCUAAAGUGGAAUCAAAGAAACAUGUAUACUUCAGUAUGUAGAUUGUCAUUUUAUACUGUAUAUGGUUAAAUUUUUUUUAAAUAAAAUUAUAGCUAUAAACUCUUAUUUUGAGUGAAUUGAUUUUAUAUGAAUUUUAUGUGACUUUAGUAAUAACAUUUACAUUUGUUGGAAAUAAAUUUUACAUGUAAGUAUAUUAUAUUUUUAUUCCUAUUGUAAGGUACUUUAUUUAAUUGUUAGCUAUAUAUCGUCUAUUAUCAAUAUAAUGUGAUUGUGUGUAAAUAAUGAUUACCUUAUUAAGUUUAUUAAUAUUUUUAAAUUGUAUUAUUUUAUAAAAUUACUAGUAUCUUGAAAUAAAGAAUAUUACAUAAUGUGGAUUGUAUAUUAUUAUAUAUUUCAUUUCUGUCUGAACUCAAGGAUCUUACUUUGCUGCGACUCUCAUGCCUCACUGCAUAAGAAGUUCUGAGACUUUUUAAGAUAUUUUGUUUAUUAUUUCGACACCUACAAUCAUAAAAACAACUCUACAAGUGGCCUGCAUUGUACCAGAAAUAGGAGUAGUGGCAGUACUCCCGACAAACAAUGCAGUGAGUGCUACUUCUUUUACUUCUUCUGUUUUACAGUAACAGUGGUGACAGCUGUGGAUGGAGCAACACUUCUGAUGUUAAACAAGUAUUCGUUCAUAAGUCCCUCGCCAAUGAUUGAUGGUGAACGAUGGUACUGCUCUGGUAGAGUGCCAUGGAAAUUUAUCGUAGUGACGAUGUCUUCUGGCAACAAAUUUCUUGUUAUAAAUGGGCACACAUUCAGAAAAGAAGUGAGUGUCAACGGCGCUACCAGUAGAUGGUGUUGCAACGAACCCAAUCCUAAUAAAUGUGACGUUUACGCUCAUGUUAACGAUAAGUUCGAACUGGUGUGUCUUAUGAACACUCAUAACCACGAUCCAACGUUGUGUCGAAUGUUUGAAGAUAGAAUAAUAUAGAGGGAUUCUGGAGGUUUCUGUCACUACGGCACUUAUUAUUAAUUUACUUUAGUUUUUUUCAGCUGUGCUUUCUUUUUGCUUUUAUGUUUCAUUGUUAUGUACCUACUAGAGGAUACGGAUAAUUAAUGUGAUAAAAUAUGGGAUUCGUAUUUGUACAAAUCGCAUUCGUACAAUUCUUUAAAUAAAGUUAUUUUUUUAACAUA